UUUUUCUGUUGUUUGUUUGUUUUCUUUUGCGUACAUGCAUUCUGACCUGAAAUUUCAUUUCAUAACAGUACAAGGAAAGUGUGCUGAUCACAGCAGUGGAAACAACACCUAGAGUUUAAAUGAAGGACAUGGGACUCCUCUAAGUCUUCUGAGUCCCAUGUCAGACCUGUAUGGAUGUCGUGGAUACUCUGAAUAAUGUUGGAGAGAACUGACAUCAGCCUGUUGGUCUGUUUUGGCAGAAUAAAGAUAUAUAUUCAGC
rnacentral:lncRNA from 1 species